rnacentral:snRNA from 1 species
NNNNUUCUGCACCAUAUAUACGGAAAUUAGAACAAUUCCGAGGGAGGGUGAGCAUGGCCCCUGUGCCAGGAUGACGUGCAAAUUAUGAAGUGUUCCAUAUUUUU